GCGACCCCAGGUCAGGCGGGGUUACCCGCUGAG
rnacentral:rRNA from 1 species